CUCCAGCAGAUUGAAGGUACAACAUCUGAGGUCUGGUAGAGGACCUGAGCUUCUUCUUACUGAGGUGCAGUUUCCUCAUCACUGCCCUUUGCAUUGAGGCCCUCCAGACUGGACCGCUAUGGACCACUUCGUCUUUGGUUUGCAGUCCGUCGACCGCCAGUAAAACAAGGAAGAAGCAGCCACCGAAAAACAACGAAGAAGCCGCCGAAAAACAAC